CUGGACUAGCACGGGUAGAUGGAGAA
rnacentral:piRNA from 1 species